CUUUGCCACCCAGCCCCACUGGGCACCAGAUGGUUUGUCCCAUCAAGAUGGAGCUCUAAACAGAAGACAAAACAGUGCCACAAGGAAAUGCUAAGCCCCUUCUCUGUCUUCCAGGUUGUCUGCAGCCAGAGAUGGAUCCUAACUGCUGUCUGCAGCCAGAGAUGGAUCCUAACUGUUGUCCGCAGCCAGAGAUGGAUCCUAACUCAGAACCUGGGCCACCUGUAAUAGUGAGACAAGACACAGGUUGCACAGAUGGAAGACUUCCCAAAAAAAAAGCAGAUUCCAAAGCCCAGAUGAUAAAACACGGAAGGGCAGUCUUCCCGCAAGGAUGCAGGGAGACAUCGAAGAAGAAAACGGUGUUAGGUACCAAUGAGCCCUUUACAACGCUGCACAAAAAAGAGAUAAUAGGAAGAAUCAAGAGCACCCAUGCGGGGAUUGGGAACAGAGGACGGCUGAAGGGCGAGGCCAGGACUCCAAAGUUGAGCGACUCCCACCACAGGAACAGAUCUCGACUGCUCGAGUGCAACGAAGCCCAUGAAAGAAGGUGCGUGGGUGGCGUUCUAAAGAGACGCGAGGCCCAGACAACCAAUCAGAAAGGAAUUCCAAGAAGACUGGAAUCUCAAGUAAGGUUUCAAACAAAGCUCGAAAAAGAAAUUUCAGCUGAAGCCCUUUGGUGUGAACCAACACCACCAGUUUGCAGAAAUCCGGAAUCCCUCAUGAGGAAAAAUGUGGAAGGCAUACUGAAGAGACAGGAUUCACUUGAGGAAUAGCCACCGGCCACACAGAACCCCCAAGAAUGGUGUGCUGCUCCACCUCCUUGCCCUCUGCAACCCCAGCCAGAUGCACCUCCUCCUGCUACAAUUUAAGCCCCGCCAGAGGCACCUCCUGCUCCACCACGUGGGCCAUAGGGGCUUCCACUGUGAUCUUCAGGUUCAAGCUGUGUCUCUGCCCUCACCCCGGUGGAACAUGGUUACAAAAUCCAUUUCCUCUAGACAUCUUCGUUUUCUGCUAUUCAGAAGUUUGCCGUUAUUAGACUUCCCUGCCACAAACUACAUCUUCCCAAUUUUUCUCUGUAAGCCAAUACGUAUUAUAGACUCCAAUGAAGAAAGACAGUGUUCUCAGAAAUAAAAUGUCUUUACUAAAUAUCUAAUAACAUCCUUUGGCAGUGUUCUGUCUCUAGCUCACCUAGUUGACCUUAUGACCUUGAUGGCUGCAAAUGCUUUAUGAUCCACCAAAAAAAAAAAAAAAAAAAACCCAUAGGAAAUAAAGUCAGACCUCCUGCAACCAAGCAGUUUAUGACAGAAAGUGUCCAUGUAAGCACAAUCAUUUUAUUAAGAAUCAGUAUUAAAAUGUGUCCAAAAGUAGUUUAAAUGCAC
rnacentral:lncRNA from 1 species